CUCGACACGUCGCAAGGUUGAGCACACGUCAGUGAGGUCUUUCUCUUGCCAUCGCACAUCAACCGCCGGAUUUUUUUCCGUGUAUGCCGCGGCGCGUGUAUUUUCGCCUCUGUGACAUAUUGCUAAAGAUCAGUUGAUACCAUCGGUCGCAGGUGCUGGUCGGUGGUAGAGAGAGAGUCUCUGAAGGACUAAGCUACGAGGAACCAGAACAAGAGAACGUUGCGUGUAAAGACAAAGAAGAUGAAUAUACCGACAGCAUUCCUCUGGUUACUACUGAUGCGGGUAUGCGUAGCGACUGAUAACAAUCGAAU